rnacentral:lncRNA from 1 species
GGCGGCGCCGGUGGCGGCUGCUCUCCCUGAGCCCGCUCCCGAGCGCUGCUUUCCCGCCGCGGGUGGGCUUCGCAGCCUCAGGCCAGCCGCGGCCCUUGGCCCGCUGCAGCCCCGGCCCUCCACCUUCCCCGUGCAGGGGCGGCCCGGCCAGUGUCGCUCAUCCCGGGACGCUCCCUUCUCCCACCCAGGACUGCCCCGCGGAGCUGGCUUGGACACCCAACUUUGCCACCUCGAGGGUCGUCUCUGCUGGGCGCGAACCUGCCCACCCACCGGUUGGCCGCGCGCUCGGGGACCGUGCUCGUGGCCCCCAAGCCGGUGCCCCCAUUCUGGAACUCAGCGAGUAGGGGGCGGCUCUGGGGAAGUGGCAGGGGGCGGCUGCAGCUGCUGCCUCCACUUCCCUAGCCAGGUGCUGAAGAGGAUCCUCGGAGCCGCUCUGGCCCCCAGGCGCUGGAUGACUGGCACCAGCGCUCCUCGCACCUGUGUUGGUGUGUGAGACUUGGGCUGGAGUGCCCACGUGGCUGUGGAGUCAGUGUGAUUCAUGAUUGAGGAAACGCGUCCUCCAUCCUCUCUCUCCUUGCACUUGUGAAUCACCUCUCAAGAAAGCCAUUUGGAACAAGUCUAGUGGGGAAGCAGGUGGUCGGAAGUCAGCCUUCUGCGUCCACAGUGGCCCUCAGCCUGAAUUUUAAAAUUAUGUGAUUCUCCUUCUCUGCUGCAUGGCGGUGGAUAAUUCAAAUGAGAUAUCAUUCUUCUGACUGGCC